rnacentral:rRNA from 1 species
UACGUAGGGUGCAAGCGUUAAUCGGAAUUACUGGGCGUAAAGCGUGCGCAGGCGGUGAUGUAAGACAGGUGUGAAAUCCCCGGGCUUAACCUGGGAACUGCAUUUGUGACUGCAUCGCUGGAGUGCGGCAGAGGGGGAUGGAAUUCCGCGUGUAGCAGUGAAAUGCGUAGAGAUGUGGAGGAACACCGAUGGCGAAGGCAGCCCCCUGGGCCAAUACUGACGCUCAUGCACGAAAGCGUGGGGAGCAAACAGG